UACGUAGGGUGCGAGCGUUAAUCGGAAUUACUGGGCGUAAAGGGUGCGCAGGCGGUUAUAUAAGACAGAUGUGAAAUCCCCGGGCUCAACCUGGGAACUGCGUUUGUGACUGUAUGACUAGAGUACGGGAGAGGAAAGUGGAAUUCCUGGUGUAGCGGUGAAAUGCGUAGAUAUCAGGAGGAACACCGGUGGUGUAGACGGCUUUCUGGACCGACACUGACGCUGAGACACGAAAGCGUGGUAGCAAACAGG
rnacentral:rRNA from 1 species